UGCUGGCCAGCUGGCCUCGGAUUUGUGAGGGCUGCUCUGUGCGCGUGCGCGCGUAUGUGUACGCACGCGCCCUGCGUGCGUCGGCGCAUGCGCCCAUGUGCGUGUGCACGUGUGCCCAUUGCAUGUCCUCGCCCCUCACUCAUAAACAAAGGACUUCGUGCAAGAGAGUGACGGCUGAGAAGCUGGAGCGCCCUGCGGAGCAAGGUCCUGGUUCACAGCUUCCUAAACCCUUGGAACUUCGUCCUAUACAACACAGAUCUGCAAAGAAAUAUCUAUCUAAUCAAGGUCAAGUCUUCAACAAUGAAAAUUUGUUUCACCGAUAAUCAAUCUUCUCUCCAACUGAUCUUUCCAGAUACACAAUAGAUACAUAGUAACUUCUCAUUUUCAUGCUGAAUUAUAGUAUAAUCUUUCUGAAGAUCAUGUCACACAUGCACCUAACAGUGCAGACUAUCCAGAUGAGCAGCGAUGAUAACGUAAACAGCCACGACCAGGCUCCGGUUCGUAAAGCACAAAUACGUCCUCACUAAUGCCUGGUGAAGAGUAACACACAAUGCCGUGGAUUCUUAGACCUACUCACGCUGAUUUCAAGGGCAAUAAAAUCUUAGUGUCAAUAUCAUUUACUAAGUUUUGAUAUCUAAUAAGGAGAAUCCUUCCCUCUUGGUGGUGGUUGUUUUAAGCCACUCAGCUUUGGGGGCGAUUAUUUAUUUAUUUAUUUUAUAAAAAAUAUUUUAUUUAUUUAUUUGACAGACAGAGAUCACAAGUAGGCAUAGAGGCAGGCAGAGAAAGAGGGGGAGGCAGGCUCCCUGCUGAGCAGAGAGCCUGAUGUGGGACCCUGGGAUCAUGACUUUAGUUGAAGGCAAAGGCUUUAACCCACUGAGCCAUCCAGGUGCCCGUGGGGGUGAUUUAUUAUGCAACAAAAUCUUAGUGAUAUUUUCAUUUAUAAAGUUAGUCAUGAAAUGCAUCUGUUUCUAAAGUUAUACUGAUUCCUCAUUAAAUAAAAAGUUAGAUAUCUGUGUUAUGAUAAAAGGAGAAAUGACAUCUUAGCCAUUGUGUUUAUUUAAAUGUCAACCUGUUCUUUCUGUAAAUAACCAUGUAGGUGGGGAAAGCUGAAAGUCACCUAGAUUUAGGCCGGGAAGGAAAGACAAGUAAGCUCAGAAAAACCACAGGUCACAUUGUGGCUAAGAAUUCAGACUGAUAUUUAUGAGCAAUUGUAGCAAAGAUUCAGUCAUUUAAAAAUAUGUGCUUUUAGGGGUGAGUAAUAAACCUUUCCAGAAUCGAAAGGGUUUUUCCUGUUGUCAGCCCCUUUCCAGUCCCUGUUAGCUCAUCCAGAGGAAUAAAGUGUCAGAAUACCCUUUGAACAACCUAACACUUAACAUUUUAAAAAUUAACAUAUAAUGUAUUAUUUGCCCCAGGGGUACAGGUCUGUGAAUCAUCAGUCUUAGACA